AGGUCCCUCCUAGAGAGAGGGACAGGCCACUUUCCAUCCCUAAGAGACAGGCAGCGGGUGGGUCCCCCUGGGUGGUAAGUGCCAGCCAACAUGUCCCCACAUGUAGCUACUAAAGAGGGUGCCCUAGAAGGGGUCUGGUGAAGAGAGGUGUCCCUGCCUAUCACCUCGUGCAUGGGUAGCACUUGAGGACCCCCACUGGCUGCGUUCCCGGAGUGACAUGUGGCUGUGGCUGGCUCCCUAGGCUCGGGGCUCCUCAGCACACCGCAUCACCCAGCAUCUACCCACCACCCCCACCGCCACCCCAGUGCCACCUUUGGGAACUCAAGUUACUGAGCCUCCGCUUCCCCAAGCAAGCCGGACACCCGCCAUUCCCUCUGCACAGCGACACUAAAGACCCCUGGCUCAGGGAAGCAAAUCAGCCAUCGAGGGGCUUCUCCUAAUGCCCCCAGGUCUGUGGUGACCUUCCUCUCAGCCACCUUCUCCUCGGCACACUCUGGGCAGCAGCCGCAGAGACUGUCUCGAGGGAAACGCCCUGAUGGCCACAGGAGACCAGGACCUCUCUGCCUCCCCGGGAACCACACCUACCACACGUGUACAUAGUAAUAAACUUUGUACAUUGAAAUCCCACUUCCACGUGGACUGGUCACUGUCUCGGAGUCUCUCUUUUCUCAUGUGUAGAAGUGGGGUCAUUGUGUCUCAUCUUGCAGGACUGGUGUGAGGCUCAGGAAGAAAGCACAUGUCUCCGGAGGCUGAGGCAGGAGGACCCAAAGUUGGAGGCCAGCCUCUGCAACUUAGUGAGGCCCUAAGCAACUUCAUGAAACCCUGUAUAUAAAAAGGGCUGGGGAUGGGGCUCAGUGGUGAAGCACCCCUGGGUUCAAUCUCCAGAACCAGAAAAGAAAAAAGAGAAAUAAAGCAAAUGUCACUAAGGACUUGAUCCAAACCCACAUGGAAGUCAAGAUGAUAGGACACGCUAGUCCCUCCAGUACUGUCAGAAAUAGUGAAAGACCUCAAACCAACCAAACCCUACUAGUAGGACGCUACUGAUAUCUACACCUACUCCGACAUACUGUGUAGACUUUAAAAGUGAAGAACCAAGUCUGUAUAUUGAUUUGGAAUGAUCUACAAGACAGAUUAAGAGGCCCAGAGGCUCAGUGUCCCACACCUGU
rnacentral:lncRNA from 1 species